rnacentral:lncRNA from 1 species
ACUGGCACAUCUUAUGUAUGCUCGAUGUAGAGGGUGAUUGAUCUCACAAUCACUUGUGUGAGAUACUAAUACAAAGAUGUGGAUGCUCAUUAGAGGAAUGAGUUCACCGAAAUGACCAGCCAUAAGAACAUCUUAUGGAUUCUUACUUAAUUGUCAAAAGAUAGUUCUCAUAGUGGGAGUUGUGCAAGUGAUCCUUAGACCUGAGAUCAUCAUGGUACCUUGUGCACUUGAACCUAUAUUUUGGUUUACCCUCAUUCAUGAAAUUGCGUUGUGUAUGGGAUAUUCUGGAUAUGGUGGAUUUUGUACGAAGGUUGUGAGUAGGUCAAUAAGGAAUCAGUCACUUCUAGUAAGAGAAGGUAACAUUCUACUUACUCUAAUCUUAUGAUGAUUCAAGAAGCCUUUGAUCAAA